UUUUAGAUAAAUUCUGCUCAAUGAUAAAUUUAAAUAGCUGCAGUAAAUUAACUGUACUAAGGUAGCAUAAUAAAUUGCUUUAUAAUUAAAAGCUUGAAUGAAAGAAACAAUGGAAAACAAACUUUUUAAACUAAAAAAGUAAAAAUUAAUAUUUAAGUGAAAAAUCUUAAAUUAAAUCAAAAGACAAGAAGACCCUUUAGAACUUUACAAGCCAUCUUAUCUUCAGUAAAUUGACUUGUUAAAUUGGGGAGAUUUUUAAAUAAAUAAAUCUUUAAAUAUAAUAAAAUGGAACAUCUCAGAUUAAAUUAUCCAUUUAUGAAUUAAAAUAAGUUACCUAAGGGAUAACAGCGCAAAGUUUUUGAGAAGUUCUUAUUCACAAAAUAAAUUGCGACCUCGAUGUUGGAUUAAGAA
rnacentral:rRNA from 1 species